rnacentral:rRNA from 1 species
GCAAUCAUAAACCUGUUUUAAAGACUUAGGAUAAAAAGACCAAGGACCUUCAAAGCCCUAAGCAGGAGUUAUAAGAGGUGCCGCCUGCCCAGUGACAAUUGUUCAACGGCCGCGGUAUUAUGACCGUGCAAAGGUAGCGUAAUCACUUGUCUUUUAAAUAAAGACCAGUAUGAACGGCAAAACGAAAGCCCGCCUGUCUCCCCUAGCUAGUCAGUGAAAUUGACCUCCCCGUGAAGAAGCGGGGCUAUUAGUACAAGACGAGAAGACCCUAUGGAGCUUCAAGCUCUAACCNCACAAAUAAAUGGCGGAAAAAUUAAUUGCGCUUUGGGUUGGGGCGACCGCGGGGAAAAACAAAACCCCCGAGACAAUUAGCCAAGAAGAACCCUCCGAAGCAACAACAACCUUGAUAUAAUGACCCAAUAUUUGAUCAACGAACCAAGUUACCCUAGGGAUAACAGCGCAAUCCUCUCUAAGAGUUCCUAUCGACGAGCGGGUUUACGACCUCGAUGUUGGAUCAGGGCCCCCAAAUGGCGCAGCAGCUGUUAAUGGUUCGUUUGUUCAACGAUUAAAGCCCUACGUGAU